GAGAGAGAGAGAGAGAGAGAGAGAGAGAGAGGCAGAGUCCUAAGCAGGCUCCGUGCCGACAUGUUAGCGCAGAACUCGACGUGGGGCUCAAUCUCACAACUGUGAGAUCAUGACCUGAGCUGAAACCAAAAGCCAGAGGCUUAACCUACUGAGCCACCCAGGCACCCCAAGGUUAAAGCUUUUUUAAAAAAUGUUAUUUUCAUAUCAGGCUACUGGUGUCCUGUGAACAGCUCUUUAAAAGAGGAGAGAGGAAAAUCAACCUAAAGGAGUAUCAUCCCAAAACUGCCAAGCUACCUAGGAAACUGUGGAAUAAAAUGCCUUUAUCCUAAUAAUGUAAAACGCAUGGUUUCAACCUAAAGAGAGUUUACUGGGGCAGGGAGCUGUGGGAGGGGAUUUGCUGGUGCUUAGAAUCCUUACGCUAUUUUGGAUUGAUUAUAUGCUAACCCUAUAAUUUUGAGAAAACAUUUGAGCUACUAGUAAUAAAUCAUAUUUCAGAGAUUGGAUUAGCACUUAGACUAUCUUUUAUUUCCUAAUCAGGUUCAUUUAUAUUAGUAUUAUACCAAUUGAAUUUUGCCUAGAACUAUGUAACUAAGGGACUUGAGAUAAACGAACACUAAUUCUAAAGAUUAAAAAAGUUACUACCACAGGGGUACCUGGGUGGCUCAGUCAGUUAAGCAUCCAGCUCUUGAAUUCAGCUCAGGUCAGGAUCUCGAUGUAUAUGGGAUCGAGCCCACAUUGGGCUCUAGACUGACAGCACAGAGCCUGCUUGGUAUUCUCUCUCCUGCUCUCUGCCCCUCCCCCACUCACACAUGAACCCUCUCAAAAAAAAAAAAAAAAGAAAAAAAGAAAAAAGUUACUACCACAAAAGGAGAACCAUAUUGCUCAAAUAUUAGUUGACGUCUACAUUACUCAGACUGAUUUCCACCUAGUGCAAUAUUAACACAGUAAUUUAGGGAGUCGAGAUAACUUCAAUAAUGCUCUGUGAACUAUAUGGGCUUGAUACAAUUUUCUUCUUCCGAAUAUACAGGUUCCAAUGUUUCCUUAACUGCAAGAGAAAUAAGCAUCCUACUUACUCCCCUCAAAGAAUAACUAAGUUAUCACAGAUGUUCCAGAAAAUGUUCAUACAUGAUUCAAGAAACAGGAGCCAUUUUUCUUGAGAGGAGUGGGAAGGAAAAGGCAAGACCUCUGCGUAUCAAGUAAAAGAAGAUAUUUAAGCAGUUGAAGGUUAUAAAGCUGCUUUCAGGGUCUAACCACCUCCUCACAGCAAAUAAUCUGCCUGGAAGGAGUCAAAACUCCUGCAAUCAGGCACUCUUCUUUCAGGCAUGAGGGGGUACCUUGCCUGCCUGCCUGCUCCCAAGGAAGCUAAAAAUAAAGCGUAUGUUUUUCUCAUAUGCACAGCACAUAGUCAUGUCAGUGAACAGGCAUAGUAAACCAGUCUACUUUUAUCAAAUCCUUCUUUCAUAAAGAACCGCCAAACAUUUGAGAAAAAUUAGAAAAAGUAAAUAACUAAAGUGAGCUAAUAUUUCAAUGCCUCCUGUAACUGGUCACUUUUUAAAAAACCUUUAAAAUUGAAGAAUGAGAGAGAUAGUCUAUACAUAAAAUAAAAAGACUGCUCUGUUGGUCAAACUUAAAGUCAGUGUAUGCUCUGGAAGAGGGAAAAAUAAAAGGUAAUAUUUCUUAUAAAGUAUAAAAAGCUACAGUGACAAAUGAAAAAAAUAGCUUAAAUAUAAGAGAAAUCAAUGCAGUACAAUUCUUCCAAACCAAGCUCCAAAAAAGCAGAAAAACUGAAAAAAGUGAAAAACAAAAUUCUCAGCAACAAAAAAACUCUUAAGUCUUCCAGUUAAAAAGCAAAAUAAAUGAAAACCUACGCAGUCUCAUCAAACCUUAGAAAACGAAGUUAUGAAAAAAAAUCUGAAUGUGUAAGAAAAAAAAUUACCUACAAAGCAAGCACUGCAUUCAAAUCAAGACUAUUAUAACACAGGGCGGGGCGCCUGGGUGGUUCAGUCAGUUGAGUGUCAGACUCCUUUUUUUAAAUUUAUUUAACAUUUAUUCAUUUUUGAAAGAGCAUGAGCUGUCAGCACAGAGCCUGAGGCAGGGCUCAAACUCAUUAACUGUGAGAUCAUGACCUGAGCUGAAGUCUGACUGAACCAUCCAGGUGCCCCAAGUGUCAGACUCUUGAUUUUGGCUCAGGCCAUGAUCUCAUGUUCAUGGGAUCAAGCCUUACACCAGGCUUUGCACAGACAACGCAGACCUGCUUGAGAUUCUCUCUCUCCCUCUCUGCCCCUCCCCCACUCAUUCUCUCUCAAAAUAAUUAAAAAGAAAAAAACUGUUGUUACACCAAAUAAUGGAGUGAUACCUCCAAAGUUCUGAUGGAAAAGGAUAGUGCAGCUAGAAUCCUAUGUCCAAACUGUCAACCAACAGUGAGGGUGAAACAUUUUCCAGUGUGCAAGACGGUUUACAGUUCAUGUAACCUUUCCUGAAAAUAUUACCAGAGAACAUAUUGCAGCAAGAACAAAAGGGAAUCUAAGAGGGAGCAAUGGAACCUAAGAAAAGUGGAGUCCAGCAAUGGAAUGGGAAAAAAAAAAAAGAA